CACAACCGAGAGAGUUGAACGCGUCGCUGCCAACCUUGUUUUAGGCUCCUAGUAGAACGUGGCAUGGAAAAUGAGAAAGUUGAUCGCGCCAUGGCCAGUGUUUACAAUGACGAAGAAGAUGAGCAGGAAGAGCAGAAGGUGGAGAAGUUUUUCGCUUUGAUUAGAGGCUUUCAGGAAGCCCGUAAUAAUCGAAGAAAAGAUCAAGUGUUGGAAGAGGAGGAGAGAAAGAAGAAGGUUAAAAGAUUAAAUGAUUCGCAGCCCAGUUCAAGUUGGGUACCUUCUUUCGAAUGGGAAGAUUUCAUGACUGACGAGAUUCAGUUUAGAAGGCCUCUUCCUCUUGUCUUUCCUCGUCCUCGUAACCAGAAAGAAGACAAGAAACAGCAAGAGAAAGAUGAUGGUUUAGAUCUCAAUCUCACCCUAUAAAGUGUUCCAUCUCAGUUUACUAAAUGAUGCCUAAUGGGAUUGCAACACUUGCUCUUUUUUCUUUGUUUGAUUAAUUUAAUGUUUAACCUUCUUGUCGUGUAAAAAAGAGCAAGUGUUGCAAUCCCAUUA
rnacentral:misc_RNA from 1 species